CAGGGUGAGCUCAGCAAGACCCCUUCCUCUAAAGAAAAAGGACACAAAGGUAUUUACUGAGUGUCUGGGAAGACAAAUGUGAGUUGAGCUGCUGCUGGCCAGGACCUGGAGGUGUCUGUCAGGGUCAGGGACAGGGUGACACACUGAAACACAUCCCAAAAGGAGGAUAUUGAAGGCUGCAUUGUGUAGGAAUAUUGAACAUAUUCCUCAUAGGUAGAGUGCUGUUAAUGCUAUUUCUCUGAUCAGUGUGAGCAUGAACUGCAGCUAAAUUAGAGGUAGGCACACUGCUGGCUGCACAGAAUGGACACAAAUUCAGGUCCGUGACAACACAGGCCUGUUUUUAAUAUUUCUAACUUAGUGAGACAGUUGGGCUGGGAAUGAAGAGCUCCUGCUGCAGAAGGUGGAUGAAUUUCAGUACUAUACAGAAUUUGUAGCAGUUACAGGAGUGUGGGUCUAGUAAUAUUAGCAUAUAAUUUGCGGCUGUCUGUCCCAAGUCACCAUCUGGAGGACUGGGCUGAGUUUCCAGAGGAACCGUCACAGAAAAGAGCUUGUUGAGACUCAGCUUGCACUUUGUCAAGCUCAGGCACACAAUGGGAGCAGGAUAGCAAGAAGCAGAUUCCUACCUCCUAAAUCUUCUGGCCAUUAGUUCCCCCCACUUUGUUUACCUCUUCCAUUUUACUGUAGUUUCUCACCAGCUGAACAAGGCAAUGAGGUCACUGUUUAGAGAUCAGGGUGCAGAAGUCAGCCUGGGUAUGAAGGCAGAAACUAAUCAGCAAAGUUUGUCAGGGGAGAGGAAUGGGGGGACUGUACCCCAGUACAGGAUUAGCAGUGUGCUGUUAAUAACACGCCGAACUUCCCUUUGUUCAGUACUGUUGCACAAAACAGUCAGGUGAGAAUUCGACAGAACAUGUUCUUCUGCCUGCUUUUAUUUUUUUUCAAAGAAAGAAGAAAAUUAGAAAAAGGUCUUCUCCAGAGAUAACAUAAGUCACAGUUCAGAUAUUUGCUCUGUGUCUCCUUCCCUCCUUCCCUCCCUUUCUUUCUUCCAGGCAUUUUGCACUUGCAGAUGCAAGUUUGUAGGUCCAUUUCUUCUCUGCCCAAGGAGAUAGAAAGUUCUACAAACCUUUUGCAUCCAGUCCUUGAGAAGUGAGUAGGGCCCUUCAGUCUGGAGCACUGAUGCUGGAAGCAGUGCUUUGCACAGCUGUGGACAUACAAUUUUGUUAACUCCAGCUGAUGGCUGCAACCCAUGGUUGGUGCUGUGUCCAGAGCAAUGUGAUGCUCUAGUGACAUUCUGACAUUCCUGUCACCCUGUCACCUGGGCAAGCACAUGGAGGGGCUCCCAAGGUCCCACCAAGACAUUUUGUGGGAAACAGGAUUACUUUCAUACCAACCUUUGAAUCUACAAAGCAGAGGGGACUGCUGGGGACAUGCACCCUGCAUGGGCAUUUGGAUGUGGUGCCUGGGCACAAAUGGGGUACAGGAUGUGUGUGCACAGCCAGCCCCUCCUUGUGCUGGAUGCUGUGGCGUAAGGAGUCCUGUGGUGUGAAAGUUCCAGAGGGAUGGAAAAGAAAGGAAGGACAGGAAGUCAGCACAUGUUCAUGCUGCAUGCAAGGUGUCCCAGAGGAUGCUGUUCUGUACUUCCCAGUCACAUAUGGCUGUCCAGAAAGAGCUGAGUCACUGUGCUUGAGCACUCCUGCUGCCGGCAGGAGCAGCUCCGCUGGAACACGCUGGUUACAUGAGUCAGAGUCACUCCUUUCCUGAGUGAAAGGCAGCACAGCGUCUGAGACUGAGCAAAGGACAGACUGCAAAGCAGUGAAGGAGCCAGCAUAUCAGUCCAGUCACUGAUUGCCAGACCCUCCUUCCAGAAGGGUGACUGUGUGGAUCUCCUGAAGGAAAAAGUUCAACCACUUGUAGUAGAGAAGUAUGGCCUGAAGGGAUGAAAAUAAGCUACAGCAGCUACUUCUGCAGCCAGAACAGAAGGGAACUGAGCAGCAUGCUCUACUUGCUGGGUGAACCCAGGGUGACCACAACUGUGGGAAGGUGGUAGAGCCUCAGAGACAGAGACUACAGAUCUCCGGGAACCAGUGGAGAGGAGGAGCACCCUUCCCAUUCCUGCCCAGCUAGUGACUAGUUUGCUUUCUAGGCAGCUGACAAGGGCAGUUUAAGGAGUGCCGGGACUGACUUGAAAACUGAUGUGGCAUUCAUGAAAGAAAAAACCCAAGUGCUAAUUUUACUUGAAACAUAACUGGAUUUGCAGCAAAUACAUUCCAGAAAGCAGUAAGACAAUCAAGGGUAUCAGUAUACUUAGUAACUUAUC